rnacentral:pre_miRNA from 1 species
UGGAUAGAUUAUUGUAUUCGACUGUAUUCACGGCGUGAAACAGGGGAUUACAUUGUUUUUAAAUAGAAAGUGAAUUAAUUAACAUAAUAGACUCCU